rnacentral:misc_RNA from 1 species
GAUGAAGAACGUAGCAAAAUGCGAUAAGUAAUGUGAAUUGCAGAAUUCAGUGAAUCAUCGAAUCUUUGAACGCACCUUGCGCCCCUUGGUUAUUCCAAAGGGCAUGCCUGUUUGAGUAUCAUGAACACCUCAACUCUUGUGGUUUCCCACAAUGAGCUUGGACUGUGGAGGUUUUGUUGGCCCUGUGGUCAGCUCCUCUCAAAUGGAUCAGCUUACCGGUGUUUGGUGGCAUUACGGGUGUGAUAACUAUCUACGCUCGUGGUCGUCUCCAAAUAACCUCCAGUGAUGGAGGUUCGCUGGAGCUUAUAAAUGUCUCUCCCCAGUGAAGACAGCCUUUGAACGUUCGAUCUCAAAUCAGGUAGGACUACCCGCUGAACUUAAGCAUAUCAAUAAGCGGAGGA